UACGACCGGCUGGACACGUGUGUGUCCGGCCCACAAGUGGAGGCUCCGUACUCCCACCCGACCACCCUCACGGGCGGCGGGUCACCGGUCAGGUGGUGCCCAUCGUUCCGUACGGACGAUGGAGCCGCCCGAUGUGCGCCCCGCGGUUGACCGCGGCGGUGUUCCGGUAUUUCCCUGGAGCCCCGCCUGUGUCCCGUCCGGGGCAUUUUUC
rnacentral:ncRNA from 1 species